rnacentral:rRNA from 1 species
CGCGUAGGCGGCCUGGUCAGUCGGAUGUGAAAGCCCCAGGCUUAACCUGGGAAUUGCAUUCGAUACUGCCAGGCUGGAGUGUAGUAGAGGGAAGCGGAAUUCCGGGUGUAGCGGUGAAAUGCGUAGAGAUCCGGAGGAACAUCAGUGGCGAAGGCGGCUUCCUGGACUAACACUGACGCUGAGGUGCGAAAGCGUGGGGAGCAAACA